rnacentral:rRNA from 1 species
GCCUAACACAUGCAAGUCGAACGGCAGCACAGGAGAGCUUGCUCUCUGGGUGGCGAGUGGCGGACGGGUGAGGAAUACAUCGGAAUCUACCUUUUCGUGGGGGAUAACGUAGGGAAACUUACGCUAAUACCGCAUACGACCUACGGGUGAAAGUGGGGGACCGCAAGGCCUCACGCGAUUAGAUGAGCCGAUGUCCGAUUAGCUAGUUGGCGGGGUAAUGGCCCACCAAGGCGACGAUCGGUAGCUGGUCUGAGAGGAUGAUCAGCCACACUGGAACUGAGACACGGUCCAGACUCCUACGGGAGGCAGCAGUGGGGAAUAUUGGACAAUGGGCGCAAGCCUGAUCCAGCCAUACCGCGUGGGUGAAGAAGGCCUUCGGGUUGUAAAGCCCUUUUGUUGGGAAAGAAAUCCCAUCGGUUAAUAACCGGUGGGGAUGACGGUACCCAAAGAAUAAGCACCGGCUAACUUCGUGCCAGCAGCCGCGGUAAUACGAAGGGUGCAAGCGUUACUCGGAAUUACUGGGCGUAAAGCGUGCGUAGGUGGUGGUUUAAGUCUGCUGUGAAAGCCCUGGGCUCAACCUGGGAAUUGCAGUGGAUACUGGAUCACUAGAGUGUGGUAGAGGGAUGCGGAAUUUCUGGUGUAGCAGUGAAAUGCGUAGAGAUCAGAAGGAACAUCCGUGG